rnacentral:rRNA from 1 species
UUUUAGGUGGAGUAACCUUUUAGGAGCUAGCCGUCGAAGGUGGGACAAAUGAUUGGGGUGAAGUCGUAACAAGGUAGCCGUAUCGGAAGGUGCGGCUGGAUCACCUCCUUU